UGAUAUCUGGCGUACUUAGCCCGAGUUGUAAUUUGUAGAGGAUGCUUUUGAUGCGGUGCCUUCCGAGUUCCCUGGAACGGGACGCCAUAGAGGGUGAGAGCCCCGUCUGGUCGGAUGCCAAAUCUCUGUAAAGCUCCUUCGACGAGUCGAGUAGUUUGGGAAUGCUGCUCAAAAUGGGAGGUAUAUGUCUUCUAAAGCUAAAUACCGGCCAGAGACCGAUAGCGCACAAGUAGAGUGAUCGAAAGAUGAAAAGCACUUUGAAAAGAGGGUUAAAAAGUACGUGAAAUUGUUGAAAGGGAAGCGCCUAUGACCAGACUUGGGCCCGGUGAAUCAUCCAGCGUUCUCGCUGGUGCACUUUGCCGGGCACAGGCCAGCAUCAGUUUGUCUUGGGGGAAAAAGGCUUUGGGAAUGUGGCUCCCUCGGGAGUGUUAUAGACCAUUGCAUAAUACCCUGGGACGGACUGAGGUUCGCGCAUCUGCAAGGAUGCUGGCGUAAUGGUCAUCAGCGACCCGUCUUGAAACACGGACCAAGGAGUCGUCUUCGUAUGCGAGUGUUCGGGUGUAAAACCCCUACGCGUAAUGAAAGUGAACGCAGGUGAGAGCUUCGGCGCAUCAUCGACCGAUCCUGAUGUUCUCGGAUGGAUUUGAGUAAGAGCAUACGGGGCCGGACCCGAAAGAAGGUGAACUAUUCCUGUAUAGGGUGAAGCCAGAGGAAACUCUGGUGGAGGCUCGCAGCGGUUCUGACGUGCGAAUCGAUCGUCAAAUAUGGGAAUGGGGGCGAAAGACUAAUCGAACCUUCUAGUAGCUGGUUUCCGUCGAAGUUUCCCUCAGGAUAGCAGUGUUGAACUCAGUUUUAUGAGGUAAAGCGAAUGAUUAGGGACUCGGGGGCGCUAUUUAGCCUUCAUCCAUUCUCAAACUUUAAAUAUGUAAGAAGCCCUUGUUGCUUAAUUGAACGUGGGCAUUCCAAUGUAUCAACACUAGUGGGCCAUUUUUUGGUAAGCAGAAUUGGCGAUGCGGGAUGAACCGAACACCAAGGUUAAAGUGCCCGGAAUGGACGCUCCUCCAACACCACCAAAAGGCGUUAAUACAUCUUUGACACCCAGGACGGUGGGCCUUGAAAUUCGGAAUCCCCCUAAAGGACUGUG
rnacentral:rRNA from 1 species